rnacentral:rRNA from 1 species
UACGUAGUGGGCUAGCGUUGUUCGGAAUUACUGGGCGUAAAGCGCGCGUAGGCGGACCUGCAAGUCGGGGGUGAAAGCCCGAGGCUUAACCUCGGAACUGCCCUCGAUACUGCGGGUCUCGAGUCCGGGAGAGGUGAGUGGAAUUCCUAGUGUAGAGGUGAAAUUCGUAGAUAUUAGGAAGAACACCAGUGGCGAAGGCAGCCCGCUGGGACGGUACUGACGCUGAGGCGCGAAAGCGUGGGGAGCGAACAGG